rnacentral:rRNA from 1 species
AUUGAACGCUGGCGGCAGGCCUAACACAUGCAAGUCGAACGAGUGGCGGACGGGUGAGUAAUGUCUGGGAAACGGCGUGGGGGAGGAGGAUAACUACUGGAAACGGUAGCUAAUACCGCAUAACAGAAGAUGGGCCCAGUUUGGAGUAGCUUGUUGGAGGGGGAACGGCUCACCAAGGCGACUAUCCGUAGCUGGUCUGAGAGGAUGACCAGCCACACUGGACCUGAGACACGGUCCAGACUCCUACGAGAGGCAGCAGUGGGGAAUAUUGGACAAUGGGCGCAAGCCUGAUGGAGCAAUGCCGCGUGUAUGAAGAAGGCCUUCGGGUUGUAAAGUACUUUCGUAGGGGAGGCGUUACCCGCAGAGGAAGCACCGGCUAACUCCGUGCCAGCAGCCGCGGUAAUAC